GCUGGCGGCGUGCCUAAUACAUGCAAGUCGAGCGGAGUUUAUCGGGAGCUUGCUCCUGAUGAACUUAGCGGCGGACGGGUGAGUAACACGUAGGCAACCUGCCCGUAAGACUGGGAUAACUACCGGAAACGGUAGCUAAUACCGGAUACGCAAGUCUCUCGCAUGAGGGGCUUGGGAAAGGCGGAGCAAUCUGUCACUUACGGAUGGGCCUGCGGCGCAUUAGCUAGUUGGUGGGGUAACGGCUCACCAAGGCGACGAUGCGUAGCCGACCUGAGAGGGUGAACGGCCACACUGGGACUGAGACACGGCCCAGACUCCUACGGGAGGCAGCAGUAGGGAAUCUUCCGCAAUGGACGAAAGUCUGACGGAGCAACGCCGCGUGAGUGAUGAAGGUUUUCGGAUCGUAAAGCUCUGUUGCCAGGGAAGAACGUCCGUUAGAGUAACUGCUAACGGAGUGACGGUACCUGAGAAGAAAGCCCCGGCUAACUACGUGCCAGCAGCCGCGGUAAUACGUAGGGGGC
rnacentral:rRNA from 1 species